GGCAGUCAGAGGCGAUGAAGGACGUACUAACUUGCGAUAAGCGCAGAUAAGGCAGUAAGAGCCGUUUGAGUCUGCGAUUUCCGAAUGGGGAAACCCAACUGCAUAAGCAGUUACUGUUAACUGAAUACAUAGGUUAACAGAGCAAACCGGGGGAACUGAAACAUCUAAGUACCCCGAGGAGAAGAAAUCAACCGAGAUUCCGGUAGUAGCGGCGAGCGAACCUGGAUUAGCCCUUAAGCACUCGGUGAAGUAGGUGAACAAGCUGGAAAGCUUGGCGAUACAGGGUGAUAGCCCCGUAACCGACGCUUCAUCGAGCGUGAAAUCGAGUAGGGCGGGACACGUGAUAUCCUGUCUGAAUAUGGGGGGACCAUCCUCCAAGGCUAAAUACUCCUGACUGACCGAUAGUGAACCAGUACCGUGAGGGAAAGGCGAAAAGAACCCCUGUGAGGGGAGUGAAAUAGAACCUGAAACCGUGUACGUACAAGCAGUAGGAGCACCUUCGUGGUGUGACUGCGUACCUUUUGUAUAAUGGGUCAGCGACUUAUAUUCAGUGGCAAGGUUAACCGUAUAGGGGAGCCGUAGCGAAAGCGAGUCUUAACUGGGCGCUCAGUCUCUGGAUAUAGACCCGAAACCGGGUGAUCUAGCCAUGGGCAGGUUGAAGGUUGAGUAACAUCAACUGGAGGACCGAACCGACUAAUGUUGAAAAAUUAGCGGAUGACUUGUGGCUAGGGGUGAAAGGCCAAUCAAACUCGGAGAUAGCUGGUUCUCCCCGAAAGCUAUUUAGGUAGCGCCUCGGACGAAUACUACUGGGGGUAGAGCACUGUUAAGGCUAGGGGGUCAUCCCGACUUACCAACCCUUUGCAAACUCCGAAUACCAGUAAGUACUAUCCGGGAGACACACGGCGGGUGCUAACGUCCGUCGUGGAGAGGGAAACAACCCAGACCGCCAGCUAAGGUCCCAAAGUAUUGCUAAGUGGGAAACGAUGUGGGAAGGCUCAGACAGCUAGGAUGUUGGCUUAGAAGCAGCCAUCAUUUAAAGAAAGCGUAAUAGCUCACUAGUCGAGUCGGCCUGCGCGGAAGAUGUAACGGGGCUAAGCAAUACACCGAAGCUGCGGCAAUGUCUUUUAGAUAUUGGGUAGGGGAGCGUUCUGUAAGCCGUUGAAGGUGAAUCGUAAGGUUUGCUGGAGGUAUCAGAAGUGCGAAUGCUGACAUGAGUAACGACAAAGGGGGUGAAAAACCUCCUCGCCGGAAGACCAAGGGUUCCUGUCCAACGUUAAUCGGGGCAGGGUGAGUCGACCCCUAAGGUGAGGCCGAAAGGCGUAAUCGAUGGGAAACGGGUUAAUAUUCCCGUACUUCUGACUAUUGCGAUGGGGGGACGGAGAAGGCUAGGUGGGCCAGGCGACGGUUGUCCUGGUUCAAGUGCGUAGGCUUGAGAGUUAGGUAAAUCCGGCUCUCUCUAAGGCUGAGACACGACGUCGAGCUGCUACGGCAGUGAAGUCAUUGAUGCCAUGCUUCCAGGAAAAGCCUCUAAGCUUCAGAUAGUCAGGAAUCGUACCCCAAACCGACACAGGUGGUCGGGUAGAGAAUACCAAGGCGCUUGAGAGAACUCGGGUGAAGGAACUAGGCAAAAUGGUACCGUAACUUCGGGAGAAGGUACGCUCUUGAUGGUGAAGUCCCUCGCGGAUGGAGCUGACGAGAGUCGCAGAUACCAGGUGGCUGCAACUGUUUAUUAAAAACACAGCACUGUGCAAAAUCGCAAGAUGACGUAUACGGUGUGACGCCUGCCCGGUGCCGGAAGGUUAAUUGAUGGGGUUAGCGCAAGCGAAGCUCUUGAUCGAAGCCCCGGUAAACGGCGGCCGUAACUAUAACGGUCCUAAGGUAGCGAAAUUCCUUGUCGGGUAAGUUCCGACCUGCACGAAUGGCGUAAUGAUGGCCACGCUGUCUCCACCCGAGACUCAGUGAAAUUGAAAUCGCUGUGAAGAUGCAGUGUACCCGCGGCUAGACGGAAAGACCCCGUGAACCUUUACUACAGCUUGGCACUGAACAUUGAACCUACAUGUGUAGGAUAGGUGGGAGGCUAUGAAGACGUGACGCCAGUUGCGUUGGAGCCGUCCUUGAAAUACCACCCUUGUAUGUUUGAUGUUCUAACUUAGACCCAUUAUCUGGGUUGAGGACAGUGCCUGGUGGGUAGUUUGACUGGGGCGGUCUCCUCCCAAAGAGUAACGGAGGAGCACGAAGGUGGGCUAAUCACGGUUGGACAUCGUGAGGUUAGUGCAAUGGCAUAAGCCCGCUUAACUGCGAGAAUGACGGUUCGAGCAGGUGCGAAAGCAGGUCAUAGUGAUCCGGUGGUUCUGUAUGGAAGGGCCAUCGCUCAACGGAUAAAAGGUACUCCGGGGAUAACAGGCUGAUACCGCCCAAGAGUUCAUAUCGACGGCGGUGUUUGGCACCUCGAUGUCGGCUCAUCACAUCCUGGGGCUGAAGUCGGUCCCAAGGGUAUGGCUGUUCGCCAUUUAAAGUGGUACGCGAGCUGGGUUUAGAACGUCGUGAGACAGUUCGGUCCCUAUCUGCCGUGGGCGUUGGAAGAUUGAAGGGGGCUGCUCCUAGUACGAGAGGACCGGAGUGGACGAACCUCUGGUGUUCGGGUUGUGUCGCCAGACGCAUUGCCCGGUAGCUAAGUUCGGAAUUGAUAAGCGCUGAAAGCAUCUAAGCGCGAAGCGAGCCCUGAGAUGAGUCUUCCCUGAUACUUUAAGUAUCCUAAAGGGUUGU
rnacentral:rRNA from 1 species